CCUACGGAUCGCGCAGGUUCGUAUCCCCUUAUUGGAUUGGGGGUGCGAUGAGCCGGUUCCUGGAAAUAGCUCCAUCGACAUUGACCGUACCCUAAACCGACACAGGUGGACUGGUAGAGUAUACCAAGGCGCUUGAGAGAACUAUACUGAAGGAACUCGGCAAAUUGCAUGCGUAACUUCGGGAUAAGCAUGACUUCUAUCGGGGCAACCCUUUAGGAGUGGCACAAAAGAGGGGGUGGCGACUGUUUACUAAAAACACAGGGCUCUGCGAAGAUGCAAAUCGACGUAUAGGGUCUGACGCCUGCCCGGUGCCGGAAGGUUAAAAGGAGAGGUGCAAGCUUUGAAUUGAAGCCCCGGUAAACGGCGGCCGUAACAAUAACGGUCCUAAGGUAGCGAAAUUCCUUGUCGGGUAAGUUCCGACCUGCACGAAUGGCGUAACGACUUCCCCACUGUCUCCAGUAUAGACUCAGCGAAAUUGAAUUCCCCGUGAAGAUGCGGGGUUCCUGCGGUCAGACGGAAAGACCCCAUGCACCUUUACUAUAGCUUUACGCUGGCAUUUGUGUCGGCAUGUGCAGGAUAGGUGGUAGGCUUUGAAGCAAGGACGCUAGUUCGUGUGGAGCUAAAAGAUGAGAUACCACCCUUAUCGUCAUAGAUGUCUAACCGCGGCAUAACAGUGUCCGGGACAGCGUAUGGUGGGUAGUUUGACUGGGGCGGUCGCCUCCCAAAGAGUAACGGAGGCGCGCGAUGGUGGGCUCAGAACGGUCGGGAAUCGUUCGACGAGUGCAAUGGCAUAAGCCUGCCUGACUGCGAGACCGACAGGUCGAGCAGAGACGAAAGUCGGUCAUAGUGAUCCGGUGGUCCCGCGUGGAAGGGCCAUCGCUCAACUAAUAAAAGGUACGCUGGGGAUAACAGGCUGAUGAUGCCCAAGAGUCCAUAUCGACGGCAUCGUUUGGCACCUCGAUGUCGGCUCAUCACAUCCUGGGGCUGGAGCAGGUCCCAAGGGUAUGGCUGUUCGCCAUUUAAAGUGGUACGUGAGCUGGGUUUAGAACGUCGUGAGACAGUUCGGUCCCUAUCUGCCGUGGGUGUAGGAAUAUUGAGAAGAGCUGACCCUAGUACGAGAGGACCGGGUUGGACGAAUCUCUGGUGGACCUGUUGUGGCGCCAGCCGCAUUGCAGGGUAGCUAAAUUCGGACGGGAUAACUGCUGAAAGCAUCUAAGCAGGAAGCCUCCUUCAAAACUAGUAUUCCCUUGAGAGCCGUGGAAGACCACCACGUCGAUAGGCCGGGUGUGGAAGCGCAGCAAUGUGUGAAGCUUACCGGUACUAAUAGCCCAAAAAA
rnacentral:rRNA from 1 species